rnacentral:rRNA from 1 species
UACGUAGGGUGCGAGCGUUAAUCGGAUUUACUGGGCGUAAAGCGUGCGCAGGCGGCUCGGUAAGACAGGUGUGAAAUCCCUGGGCUCAACCUAGGAAUUGCGCUUGUGACUGGCGGACUCGAGUAUGGUAGAGGGGGGUGGAAUUUCCGGUGUAGCAGUGAAAUGCGUAGAGAUCAGGAGGAACACCGGUGGCGAAGGCGGCUCCCUGGGCCUGUACUGACGCUCAUGCGCGAAAGCGUGGGGAGCAAACAGG